rnacentral:rRNA from 1 species
GUGGCGGACGGGUGAGUAAUGUCUGGGGAUCUGCCCGAUGGAGGGGGAUAACCACUGGAAACGGUGGCUAAUACCGCAUGACCUCUUGGGAGUAAAGUGGGGGACCUUCGGGCCUCACGCCAUCGGAUGAACCCAGAUGGGAUUAGCUGGUAGGCGGGGUAAUGGCCCACGUAGGCGACGAUCCCUAGCUUGUCUGAGAGGAUGACCAGCCACACUGGGACUGAGACACGGCCCAGACUCCUACGGGAGGCAGCAGUGGGGAAUAUUGCACAAUGGGCGCAAGCCUGAUGCAGCCAUGCCGCGUGUGUGAAGAAGGCCUUCGGGUUGUAAAGUACUUUCAGCGGGGAGGAAGGCGUAAGUCUGAACAGGGCUUAAGAUUGACGUUACCCGCAAAAGAGGCACCGGCUAACUCCGUGCCAGCAGCCGCGGUAAUACGGAGGGUGCAAGCGUUAAUCGGAAUUCCUGGGCGUAAAGCGCACGCAGGCGGUCAAUUAAGUUGGAUGUGAAAUCCCCGGGCUUAACCCGGGAACGGCAUCCAAGACUGGUUGGCUAGAGUCUCGUAGAGGGGGGUAGAAUUCCACGUGUAGCGGUGAAAUGCGUAGAGAUGUGGAGGAAUACCGGUGGCGAAGGCGGCCCCCUGGACGAAGACUGACGCUCAGGUGCGAAAGCGUGGGGAGCAAACAGGAUUAGAUACCCUCGUAGUCCACGCUGUAAACGAUGUCGAUUUGGAGGCUGUGCCCUUGAGGCGUGGCUUCCGGAGCUAACGCGUUAAAUCGACCGCCUGGGGAGUACGCCCGCAAGGUUAAAACUCAAAUGAAUUGACGGGGGCCCGCACAAGCGGUGGAGCAUGUGGUUUAAUUCGAUGCAACGCGAAGAACCUUACGUAUCUUGACAUCCACGGGAUCAGGCAGAGAUGCCGGAGUGCCUUCGGGAACCGUGAGACAGGUGCUGCAUGGCUGUCGUCAGCUCGUGUUGUGAAAUGUUGGGUUAAGUCCCGCAACGAGCGCAACCCUUAUCCUUUGUUGCCAGCACGUGAUGGUGGGAACUCAAGGGAGACUGCCGGUGAUAAACCGGAGGAAGGUGGGGAUGACGUCAAGUCAUCAUAGCCCUUACGAGUAGGACUACACACGUGCUACAAUGGCAGGUACAAAGAGAAG